rnacentral:rRNA from 1 species
CACUAUCGUUAACUGAAUACAUAGGUUAACGAGGCGAACCGGGGGAACUGAAACAUCUAAGUACCCCGAGGAAAAGAAAUCAACCGAGAUUCCCCCAGUAGCGGCGAGCGAACGGGGAGCAGCCCAGAGUCUGAAUCAGCUUGUGUGUUAGUGGAACGGUCUGGAAAGUCCGACGGUACAGGGUGAUAGUCCCGUACACCAAAAUGCACAGGCUGUGAACUCGAAGAGUAGGGCGGGACACGUGGUAUCCUGUCUGAAUAUGGGGGGACCAUCCUCCAAGGCUAAAUACUCCUGACUGACCGAUAGUGAACCAGUACCGUGAGGGAAAGGCGAAAAGAACCCCGGCGAGGGGAGUGAAAAAGAACCUGAAACCGUGUACGUACAAGCAGUGGGAGCACCUUCGGGUGUGACUGCGUACCUUUUGUAUAAUGGGUCAGCGACUUAUAUUCUGUAGCAAGGUUAACCGUAUAGGGGAGCCGCAGGGAAACCGAGUCUUAACUGGGCGUUAAGUUGCAGGGUAUAGACCCGAAACCCGGUGAUCUAGCCAUGGGCAGGUUGAAGGUUGGGUAACACUAACUGGAGGACCGAACCGACUAAUGUUGAAAAAUUAGCGGAUGACUUGUGGCUGGGGGUGAAAGGCCAAUCAAACCGGGAGAUAGCUGGUUCUCCCCGAAAGCUAUUUAGGUAGCGCCUCGUGAACUCAUCUUCGGGGGUAGAGCACUGUUUCGGCUAGGGGGUCAUCCCGACUUACCAACCCGAUGCAAACUACGAAUACCGAAGAAUGUUAUCACGGGAGACACACGGCGGGUGCUAACGUCCGUCGUGAAGAGGGAAACAACCCAGACCGCCAGCUAAGGUCCCAAAGUCAUGGUUAAGUGGGAAACGAUGUGGGAAGGCACAGACAGCCAGGAUGUUGGCUUAGAAGCAGCCAUCAUUUAAAGAAAGCGUAAUAGCUCACUGGUCGAGUCGGCCUGCGCGGAAGAUGUAACGGGGCUAAACCAUGCACCGAAGCUGCGGCAGCGACACUAUGUGUUGUUGGGUAGGGGAGCGUUCUGUAAGCCUGCGAAGGUGNNNNNNNNNNNNNNNNNNNNNNNNNNNNNNNNNNNNNUGCUGGAGGUAUCAGAAGUGCGAAUGCUGACAUAAGUAACGAUAAAGCGGGUGAAAAGCCCGCUCGCCGGAAGACCAAGGGUUCCUGUCCAACGUUAAUCGGGGCAGGGUGAGUCGACCCCUAAGGCGAGGCCGAAAGGCGUAGUCGAUGGGAAACAGGUUAAUAUUCCUGUACUUGGUGUUACUGCGAAGGGGGGACGGAGAAGGCUAUGUUAGCCGGGCGACGGUUGUCCCGGUUUAAGCAUGUAGGCUGGUUGUCCAGGCAAAUCCGGAUAAUCAAGGCUGAGGUGUGAUGACGAGGCACUACGGUGCUGAAGUAACAAAUGCCCUGCUUCCAGGAAAAGCCUCUAAGCAUCAGGUAACAUCAAAUCGUACCCCAAACCGACACAGGUGGUCAGGUAGAGAAUACCAAGGCGCUUGAGAGAACUCGGGUGAAGGAACUAGGCAAAAUGGUGCCGUAACUUCGGGAGAAGGCACGCUGGUGUGUAGGUGAAGUCCCUGCGGAUGGAGCUGAGACCAGUCGAAGAUACCAGCUGGCUGCAACUGUUUAUUAAAAACACAGCACUGUGCAAACACGAAAGUGGACGUAUACGGUGUGACGCCUGCCCGGUGCCGGAAGGUUAAUUGAUGGGGUUAUCCGUAAGGAGAAGCUCUUGAUCGAAGCCCCGGUAAACGGCGGCCGUAACUAUAACGGUCCUAAGGUAGCGAAAUUCCUUGUCGGGUAAGUUCCGACCUGCACGAAUGGCGUAAUGAUGGCCAGGCUGUCUCCACCCGAGACUCAGUGAAAUUGAACUCGCUGUGAAGAUGCAGUGUACCCGCGGCAAGACGGAAAGACCCCGUGAACCUUUACUAUAGCUUGACACUGAACAUUGAGCCUUGAUGUGUAGGAUAGGUGGGAGGCUUUGAAGCGUGGACGCCAGUCUGCGUGGAGCCAACCUUGAAAUACCACCCUUUAAUGUUUGAUGUUCUAACGUUGGCCCCUUACCGGGGUUGCGGACAGUGUCUGGUGGGUAGUUUGACUGGGGCGGUCUCCUCCCAAAGCGUAACGGAGGAGCACGAAGGUUAGCUAAUCCUGGUCGGACAUCAGGAGGUUAGUGCAAUGGCAUAAGCUAGCUUGACUGCGAGCGUGACGGCGCGAGCAGGUGCGAAAGCAGGUCAUAGUGAUCCGGUGGUUCUGAAUGGAAGGGCCAUCGCUCAACGGAUAAAAGGUACUCCGGGGAUAACAGGCUGAUACCGCCCAAGAGUUCAUAUCGACGGCGGUGUUUGGCACCUCGAUGUCGGCUCAUCACAUCCUGGGGCUGAAGUAGGUCCCAAGGGUAUGGCUGUUCGCCAUUUAAAGUGGUACGCGAGCUGGGUUUAGAACGUCGUGAGACAGUUCGGUCCCUAUCUGCCGUGGGCGCUGGAGAAUUGAGGGGGGCUGCUCCUAGUACGAGAGGACCGGAGUGGACGCAUCACUGGUGUUCGGGUUGUCAUGCCAAUGGCACUGCCCGGUAGCUAAAUGCGGAAGAGAUAAGUGCUGAAAGCAUCUAAGCACGAAACUUGCCCCGAGAUGAGUUCUCCCUGAGACUUUAAGUCUCCUGAAGGAACGUUGAAGACGACGACGUUGAUAGGCCGGGUGUGUAAGCGCAGCGAUGCGUUGAGCUAACCGGUACUAAUGAACCGUGAGGCUUAACCUU